CCAGAGCAGGUGGCAACAGCAGGCCAGGCAGUGUCUGCAGGAAAAUGUCUCACUUUCUCAAUUUCAGAUCGAUCCAACCUCCUUGGAAAAUGGGGAGAUAAAAAAAAUAUUGGCAGCCUUGAUGGAAAUUUUCCCUGGGAGAACUGAUGCCAGAAGACAUUCCAGGCAAUAAAAGAACACAUUUAGAAGUGAGAUACCUAAAGAUAACAACACUUUUCAAAAGAGAAUCCAGUAAAGCAUGACAGCUGGAGACCCAAGAGAUGGUAUCAACAAGAACCAGAUGUGGAAAUUGAUUCAAGGAGAUUAAGUGACUUCCUAAGGUGUGUAAAGCGUGAAGUUUAGAAUCCUAUAUGAUGCCAGAAAACACCAAUCCCCAACAAAGAAGUGAAUCAACAAGCCAACAAAGCUGCCUCUUUGCUAACCAUCUCUGUGUGAUCCUGUGGAGACAUAUGAAACCACUGGGAGCAAAAAUGUUUUCAAGCAAAGGAAGUGCUGAAGGUGAAAUUCUGCUGUCUUAGAAGUUCUCAGCAACAAAUGCACCAUUUUGUUCCAUGCAAUGAGGACACCUACUUACAAGAUGAAUACAGAACUUUCAAUGGGAAAAGCAAGAAUUAAAAUGAUUUCAU